GGAGAGGUGUCCGAGUGGUCGAAGGAGCACGCUUGGAAAGUGUGUAAACGUCAAAAGCGUUUCGGGGGUUCGAAUCCCCUCCUCUCCU
rnacentral:tRNA from 1 species